rnacentral:rRNA from 1 species
ACUAAAUAGAUACCCAGGUAGUCCACGCCGUAAACGAUGGGCACUAGGCGUCGGGGGGAGCGACCCUCCCGGUGCCGUCGCUAAACGCUGUAAAGUGCCCCGCCUGGGGAGUACGGCCGCAAGGCUGAAACUCAAAGGAAUUGACGGGGGCCCGCACAAGCGGUGGAGCAUGUGGUUUAAUUCGAAAGCAACGCGAAGAACCUUACCUGGGCUUGACAUGCAUGGGAAAGCCGGUGGAAACACCGGGCCUCCUUCGGGACCCAUGCACAGGUGCUGCAUGGCUGUCGUCAGCUCGUGUCGUGAGAUGUUGGGUUAAGUCCCGCAACGAGCGCAACCCUCGUCCCUAGUUACCAGCGGGUCAGGCCGGGAACUCUAGGGAGACUGCCGGUGUC